AUACGUAGGUGGCAAGCGUUGUCCGGAUUUAUUGGGCGUAAAGCGAGCGCAGGCGGUUUCUUAAGUCUGAUGUGAAAGCCCCCGGCUCAACCGGGGAGGGUCAUUGGAAACUGGGAGACUUGAGUGCAGAAGAGGAGAGUGGAAUUCCAUGUGUAGCGGUGAAAUGCGUGGAUAUAUGGAGGAACACCAGUGGCGAAGGCGGCUUUCGGGUCUGUACCUGACGCUGAGGCUCGAAAGCGUGGGGAGAAAACAGGAUUAGAUACUCUGGUAGUCCACGCCGUAAACGAUGAGUGCUAAGUGUUGGAGGGUUUCCGCCCUUCAGUGCUGCAGCUAACGCAUUAAGCACUCCGCCUGGGGAGUACGACCGCAAGGUUGAAACUCAAAUGAAUUGACGGGG
rnacentral:rRNA from 1 species